rnacentral:rRNA from 1 species
AUUGAACGCUGGCGGCAGGCCUAACACAUGCAAGUCGAGCGCGCGGCGGACGGGUGAGUAAUGUGUGGGAGACUGCCUGAUGGAGGGGGAUAACUACUGGAAACGGUAGCUAAUACCGCAUACCAUCAUAUGUGCCCAGAGGGGAUUGGCUAGUGGGUGGGGUAACGGCUCACCUGGGCGACGAUCCCUAGCUGGUCUGAGAGGAUGACCAGCCACACUGGAACUGAGACACGGUCCAGACUCCUACGGGAGGCAGCAGUGGGGAAUAUUGCACAAUGGGCGCAAGCCUGAUGCAGCCAUGCCGCGUGUGUGAAGAAGGCCUUCGGGUUGUAAAGCACUUUCAGCGGGGAGGCGUUACCCGCAGAAGAAGCACCGGCUAACUCCGUGCCAGCAGCCGCGGUAAUAC